CGACGACAUGUCCCUUAUAAAGCAAAAUUACAUCAUAAGCAUUGUCAGAGAUAACAUGAAAUAAUACAUCAAUAAUUGGUUAGGUGUUAAGUGGUUCAUUUAAUGCUCUGCCUACUGGGGGUGAUGUCACUGGUAUCUUGGAGGUCUCCCCCAGAUUCCAGCACCAUCUUGUUAAUGAGGGUGUUAGUUGAUGUUGAAGGGGAAACUCCCUAGCGGCCAUUUUAGGUAAAUCACAAAGAAAGUUGAAUAAUGUUGAUUGCAGUUAUGUUGAGUAAAUAGACAUUUUACUGAUAUAAAUUGGGUUAAUAUUUUUGUCCACAACAUAAACAAAGGCUGCUAACCAGUCGCUGAAAACAUGUCCCACAGACAUCGCUAUAGAGGGGCAAGGAUGGGAGGCAGAUUGUGCCAUAGAUUGCCAAGCACAAACACUGCACAUUCAGGCUCCUACCACCAUGACCACUUCAAAUCACCGAAGUAGUCGUGGUGGUCGGAGUAACACCACACAGUCAAUAGAUUAGAUUAAUAAUGUAAUUAUUACUUUAUGAUUACUAUUUUUAAAUGGCUCACUCAAUACAACACUAACUGGUAACACAAAUUAAGGGUAAAAAGGUCUGUUAACACUUCAGUACAAAACAUAGCAACAAUUGAGGCAGAGUGAAUAAUAUCUAGCAUUUACUUUAAAAAUUAGUUUCUUCACUAAAAAGAUAAGUGGAGUAAAAUCCAAAUUGAAAAACAGUCUAUAUAGGGUCAAU